AGAGGAAUAGCUGGGUCAAAUGGUGGUUCCAUUCCCAGAUUUCCAAGGAAUCUCCAUACUGCUUUCCAAAUUGGCUGCACCAAUUUGCAGUCCCACCAACAAU
rnacentral:pre_miRNA from 1 species